rnacentral:tRNA from 1 species
AGGACAUUAGCUCAGCUAGGUAGAGCACCCAGGUCGUCAACCUGGAAGGUCGUCGGUUCGAUUCCGGCAUGUCUUACCA